rnacentral:lncRNA from 1 species
GAGUAUUAGGGUCAAAGGGAUGAAUUAUAUGGUAAUCAUAUGCUAAUAAGUUCUUGAAUGUUACUUUGCAAUCUUUCGACCUAUCCGGACGUCGGAUACUACUGCUAGAUGAUCAUUUUGAUUAGUAUAGAAAAAUUAUUUCUGUAUUAUCGACCUAGGUUCGAAUCUAUGGAGUUACACUCAAAAGAAAUUUCUGACUGAUCAUGUGGC